ACGCUCGACACCUACGGGAGGCAGCAGGUGGGGAAUAUUGCACAAUGGGGAAACCCGUGAUGCAGCGACCGCCCGCGUGGAGGAAAGGAAGGGUUCCUUCGGAUUUAGUAAACCUCCUGUUGUAGGGAAAAGAGGAUGGUACCCAAACAAGGAGUGCGCUACUACGUGCCCGCAGCCGACGGUAAUCUGAGGCGGGCUGGACAAGGC
rnacentral:rRNA from 1 species